GUGGGUAGCUCAGUUGUUAGAGCUUAGGUCUGCUAACCAGAAGGUCUCGGGAUCGAAUCCCACUCGAGGCG
rnacentral:tRNA from 1 species